AGCUUUGUGUAGUGGCAGUAUCGUAGCUAAUGAGGUUAAUCCGGGGUGUGAUUAUUGCUAGUUGAAAACUUUUCCCAAUACCCUGCCAUGAUGACUUGAAAUAUAGUUGGCAUUGGCAAUUUUUGAAAGUCUUCUGGGAGA
rnacentral:snRNA from 1 species